CCCGCACAAGCGGCGGAGCAUGCGGAUUAAUUCGAUGCAACGCGAAGAACCUUACCAAGGCUUGGCAUACACCGGUAACGCCCAGAGAUGGGUGCCCCUUGUGUCGGUGGACAGGUGGUGCAUGGUUGUCGUCAGCUCGUGUCGUGAGAUGUUGGGUUAAGUCCCGCAACGAGCGCAACCCUCGUCCUAUGUUGCCAGCGGGUCAUGCCGGGGACUCAUGGGAGACUGCCGGGGUCAACUCGGAGGAAGGUGGGAUGACGUCAAAUCAUCAUGCCCCUUAUGUCUUGGGCUUCACGCAUGCUACAAUGGCCGGUACAAAGGGCUGCGAUACCGCGAGGUGGAGCGAAUCCCAGAAAGCCGGUCUCAGUUCGGAUUGGGGUCUGCAACUCGACCCCAUGAAGUCGGAGUCGCUAGUAAUCGCAGAUCAGCAACGCUGCGGUGAAUACGUUCCCGGGCCUU
rnacentral:rRNA from 1 species